rnacentral:rRNA from 1 species
UACGUAGGGGGCUAGCGUUGUCCGGAAUCAUUGGGCGUAAAGAGCGUGUAGGCGGCCCGGUAAGUCCGCUGUGAAAGUCGGGGGCUCAACCCUCGAAUGCCGGUGGAUACUGUCGGGCUAGAGUGCGGAAGAGGCGAGUGGAAUUCCUGGUGUAGCGGUGAAAUGCGCAGAUAUUGGGAAGAACACCUAUGGCGAAGGCAGCUCUCUGGGACGGUACUGACGCUGAGACGCGAAAGCGUGGGGAGCGAACAGG